UUCCAUGUAACUUCACUUUCAAUCAUGGCAGACAUUGUUCCCUGUUAGUAGAUCUUAAGAAAAUCACGGCCAAUCACUUUCAGAAGUAGCAACGCUUGGGGAUCAAAAAGUAAAGGUCGUGCAAGCAUUUUGUCUGAGUGCACCUUAUCAUCCACUAUAUCUAGAAAUCAUCAUUUGUUCGAACUAAAGAACUAAACAUACUAUAUCAAGUGAAACUAAAUUCCAUUAAAAUUCAGGCCCGAAGUGGGCAAUUAUAAUCAGGCUAAAAAGAAAAG
rnacentral:lncRNA from 1 species